rnacentral:rRNA from 1 species
UACAGAGGUGGCAAGCGUUGUUCGGAAUUACUGGGUGUAAAGGGUGCGCAGGCGGACUUGUAAGUCAGGGGUGAAAUCUCACAGCUUAACUGUGAAACUGCCUUUGAUACUGCAAGUCUUGGAUCCAGAAGAGAGUUGUGGAAUUCCGAGUGUAGCAGUGAAAUGUGUAGAUAUUCGGAAGAACACCAGUGGCGAAGGCAGCAACUUGGUCUGGUAUCGACGCUCAGGCACGAAAGCAUGGGGAUCAAACAGG